UCUUCUUCGGAAGAGAGCGGCGGACGGGUGAGUAACGCGUGGGUAACCUGCCCUGUACACACGGAUAACAUACCGAAAGGUAUGCUAAUACGGGAUGACAUAUGAAAGUCGCAUGGCUUUUAUAUCAAAGCUCCGGCGGUACAGGAUGGACCCGCGUCUGAUUAGCUAGUUGGUAAGGUAACGGCUUACCAAGGCGACGAUCAGUAGCCGACCUGAGAGGGUGAUCGGCCACACUGGAACUGAGACACGGUCCAGACUCCUACGGGAGGCAGCAGUGGGGAAUAUUGCACAAUGGGCGAAAGCCUGAUGCAGCAACGCCGCGUGAGCGAUGAAGGCCUUCGGAUCGUAAAGCUCUGUCCUCAAGGAAGAUAAUGACGGUACUUGAGGAGGAAGCCCCGGCUAACUACGUGCCAGCAGCCGCGGUAAUACGUAGGGGGCUAGCGUUAUCCGGAAUUACUGGGCGUAAAGGGUGCGUAGGCGGUCUUUCAAGCCAGAAGUGAAAGGCUACGGCUCAACCGUAGUAAGCUUUUGGAACUGUAGGACUUGAGUGCAGGAGAGGAGAGUAGAAUUCCUAGUGUAGCGGUGAAAUGCGUAGAUAUUAGGAGGAAUACCAGUAGCGAAGGCGGCUCUCUGGACUGUAACUGACGCUGAGGCACGAAAGCGUGGGGAGCAAACAGGAUUAGAUACCCUGGUAGUCCACGCCGUAAACGAUGAGUACUAGGUGUCGGGGGUUACCCCCCCUCGGUGCCGCAGCUAACGCAUUAAGUACUCCGCCUGGGGAAGUACG
rnacentral:rRNA from 1 species